rnacentral:rRNA from 1 species
UACGUAGGGGGCUAGCGUUGUCCGGAUUUAUUGGGCGUAAAGAGCGUGUAGGCGGCCAGGUAGGUCGGUUGUGAAAACUGGAGGCUCAACCUUCAGAGGUCGACCGAAACCAUCUGGCUAGAGUCCGGGAGAGGAGAGUGGAAUUCCUGGUGUAGCGGUGAAAUGCGCAGAUAUCAGGAGGAACACCAAUAGCGAAGGCAGCUCGCUGGGACGGUACUGACGCUGAGGUGCGAAAGCGUGGGGGAGCAAACAGG